rnacentral:misc_RNA from 1 species
UCAAAAUCUCAAGCCUGGCUUGGUGUUGGGCUCUCGCUCCUCUCCCACAAGUGUAGGGGGUUAUGGGGGGGCGUGCCUGAAAAUCAUCGGCGGUGCCUCGAUGGCCUCAAGCGUAGUGGACUACUCGCGCUUUGGAGCGUCCGUCGUAGGCUCACUAGCCUGGAUGUGUCAUUAUAAAAGAA